rnacentral:rRNA from 1 species
UACAGAGGGUGCGAGCGUUGUUCGGAAUUAUUGGGCGUAAAGCGCAUGUAGGCGGUCUGUUAAGUCGCGUGUGAAAGCUCCAGGCUCAACCUGGAAAGUGCGCGCGAAACUGGCGGACUUGAGUGCCGGAGAGGGUGGCGGAAUUCCCGGUGUAGAGGUGAAAUUCGUAGAUAUCGGGAGGAACACCAGAGGCGAAGGCGGCCACCUGGACGGACACUGACGCUGAGACGCGAAAGCGUGGGGAGCAAACAGG